UGAAGGUUUGGUCCUGGCCUCAAUAUUAGUUUUAACCUGACUUACACAUGCAAGUCUCAGCAUCCCGGUGAGAAAGCCCCAAUUAGCCCAAAUAAUCUAAUUAGGAGCUGAUAUCAGGCACAUUUUAUCAAUAAAUAGCCCAUAACAUCCCGCUCAGCCACACCCACAAGGGAACUCAGCAGUGACAAACAUUGUAUCAUAAGUGUAAGCUUGAAUCAGUCAAGGUUUUAAGUGUUGGUCAAUCUCGUGCCAGCCACCGCGGUUAUACGAGUGACACAAAUUAAUAUCCUACGGCGUUAAGGGUGAUUAGAAACCAUCUUACCAAAAAUAAAGUUGAGACCCCAUCAAGCUGUCAUAUGCUAUUAUGACUGGAACUAUCACUCACGAAAGUAACUUUAUAUAAGACAGAACUUUUGACCUCACGACAGUUAAGACCCAAACUAGGAUUAGAUACCCUACUAUGCUUAACCAUAAACAUUGCUAAAUUAAUCUUACCUUAAUACCCGCCCGAAUACUACAAGCGCUAGCUUAAAAUCCAAAGGACUUGGCGGUGCUCCAAACCCACCUAGAGGAGCCUGUUCUAUAACCGAUAAUCCGCGUUCGACCUCACCACUUCUUGCCCUCCCAGCCUAUAUACCGCCGUCGUCAGCUUACCCUAUGAAGGCAUAACAGUAAGCAUAAUGACCUUUUCCCCCUCAAUACGUCAGGUCGAGGUGUAGCGAAUGAAGUGGAAAGAAAUGGGCUACAUUCUCUCUUUAGAGUACACGAACAGAAAUAUGAAAAACUUCUUAAAGGUGGAUUUAGCAGUAAGUAAACUUUAGAACAUUAUACUGAAACCGGCUCUGGAGCGCGCACACACCGCCCGUCACUCUCCUCAAAAAUUACUCCUAAUCUUACAUAAAAAAACUUUACCAUAAGAGGAGGCAAGUCGUAACAUGGUAAGUGUACUGGAAAGUGCACUUGGAUUAAC
rnacentral:ncRNA from 1 species